rnacentral:rRNA from 1 species
AACGAACGCUGGCGGCAUGCCUAACACAUGCAAGUCGAACGAGACCUUCGGGUCUAGUGGCGCACGGGUGCGUAACGCGUGGGAACCUGCCCUUAGGUUCGGAAUAACUCCCCGAAAGGUGUGCUAAUACCGGAUAAUGUCUUCGGACCAAAGAUUUAUCGCCUUUGGAUGGGCCCGCGUUGGAUUCGCUAGUUGGUAGGGUAAAAGCCUACCAAGGCGACGAUCCAUAGCUGGUCUGAGAGGAUGAUCAGCCACACUGGGACUGAGACACGGCCCAGACUCCUACGGGAGGCAGCAGUGGGGAAUAUUGGACAAUGGGCGAAAGCCUGAUCCAGCAAUGCCGCGUGAGUGAUGAAGGCCGUAGGGUUGUAAAGCUCUUUUACCCGGGAUGAUAAUGACAGUACCGGGAGAAUAAGCUCCGGCUAACUCCGUG